UUAAUUGUGUGUAUACACUUUUAAAUUGAUAAUUGUAUCUGCUCUCUUUUGAACUCAAUUUCUAUAGAAACACGUGUACUCUACGUGUCCAUCAUAGAUAUUUUCAUCAGUUCAUCAAGAUUCUUCCAAGAUAAAGAACUGGAAGGUUGGGUCAAAUUGAAAUUCCACUUGAUGUCUUCAAUUGAAAAUUUGGUCUCCUCAUAGUCAAAAUUUUCAGCUACAAAACUAUUUUCUCUUUUAAUCAUUGAUCUUCCUUUUUUUUUCUUUUCUGCUCCAGCUGCGUUUGUCCUUGGCUUUGAUAUUCUUUUCAAAAUUUCUCUAUUUUCCGGUUUGUAUGUGGCUUUGAUUCUCUUUUGUUUAAAGAUAAUUGAUUUAGAAUCUAAAUUAUGUGAUUUACAAUUUUCAUUUUGCCUCUGAUUUUAUAUUUUAUGCUUUAUUGUUUUUAGUUAAGUGUGUCUAAUUUUGAUAUUAAAUUUUCCCUCUUUCCCCGUUUUUCCUUUAUGGAUUCUGUCAUACAUGUGGUUAUUUUUAAAAAUGCCUCUUUAAAAAUUUUCAGCUUUAGUAGCAUGACUGCUCCCACAGCGGCUAUAGGAAAUUGCCACUCGGAGAAAAAUAAACUACCAAGGGAAGGGCUUUAAUGCAACCAAUGUGUUUGAUGAAGUUUCAAUGUAUUUGAUGAAAUUCUCCAAUGAAAGGAAGAUAGUUUCAACAAUUCGGUUGACCUCUUCUCUGCAAUCAAUCAAGCUUUUUACAUAUCAAUUGGCACUAAUUAGAUUAGUACAACUUGAUUUCUACUACUGAUGGCACUUUGAAUUCCCAUUUUGUUGAUUGGUAAGCUUCUCUGAGAUUUGUCAUUGUAUUCCCUCUAUGUAAUUUCAUUGUUUUUUAUUUUAUAUUCUCGGCUUUAUUUUAUAAUUUUCUUACUCAAUUUAGAUUUAGUUUCUUACCUAUGCAUUUUUUUUUAUCAAGAUGCGAAUCAGAUUGUUUGCAUGCUUAUAGGGAGAGAAAGUAUGAACUCGAAGGAGUUUCUAGAGUAGCAGAAAAAAAACUGGUCAUAAUCGGAAAAAAGGGGUAGGGGAGGCAAUCGAAGAAAAUGACAUAAACAACUGUUGCCAAGGUGGUGUUGACUUGAUAGAUGAAAAUUAAUUAGGUAUGGACUAAUAUUAGACUUAUAUUGUGGGUUUUGUAUAUCUUUUUAAUUGUUAUAUUCCUAUAUGUACGCGCACACACACACCUAUAUCAGCAUGGCACGAGCGAGCGACUAUGUGAGUAAAGUAUUCUUUUAGAAAAUAUUUUACUAAAAGAUAUCACUUGCCAAGUCAUUUUUCCUAUAAUUGGUUGAACAGACCAAAUGAAACACAAACUUUGUUGAUAAUCACAAAAAGUAAACAAUGGAGAGUAAGCGAUACAGAAGAGGAGUGGAGUGAAAAUAAUAUUUAAAAUAUAUACAACUACAAGCUAGAAAAUAGUUGCACCAGUGAAAAUAAAUUCACCACCAGAGUGGAAGUUUCAUUGUACUCAUACUUACAAUGUGCUUUAUGUUAAAGUCAACAUAGUAUAAUAGUUUUUCUCCAACCGGUUUGCAAUUAUUAUUGAAUUUCUCUCAUGAAUUUUAUAUGUUCUUCUUUUUUGCUUUGCUUUGCUAUGUUAUUUAGUUAAUUAAAUUGCUGAAUUUUUCUGGCUACGGAUUUAUGGAACCUCACUUACUAGUGUAUAUUUAUAUAUAGGUAAUGCAGAAUAGGGGUGAAAAGGAUGUAAAAGAAGUUUUGAGUUUAAAUAGCCUAAGGAGUAUAUGAUGAGUCCAACUAUGGAGAGUAAGUCGCACAGUUAUCACAGCUUCUGCAUCUAAUAAAAGCUCUAAUUGUUAGAUUAUUGCAUCUAUUACAUGUAAACUAUUUAAAGUUCUAUAAAACAUUUUGAAUUUUGUUAAACUCUUCCCGACUUCCACUAAGAUAUUUCCAAGGGAAAAUGGCAAAAGGUCCAUAUUUUAGAUAAAAUAUUUUUUGUGCGCCUUUAUAUGAGAAACUUUAAGAAUUUCCUAGAGAUCAAAGGUUAUCCAGCAGGUGAUGGCUUCAAGGGAAAAUGGCAAAAGCUCCAUAUUUUAGAUAAAAUAUUUUUUGUGCACCUUUAUAUGAGAAACUUUAAGAAUUUCCCAGAGAUCAUAGGCUAUCCAGCAGGUGACGGCUUCAGGUGACAUCUUUUAGGUGUUGAUUUUAAUUGGUAUAGUUUAUGUUGUCCUUGAUUGAAUCAUAGUAAAUUAAAAUUAUCUCAAUUUAUUGUUAAUACCUCUUGGAGCUGAUAAAUAUACUUGAUAAAUUGAUGGUGUUGUUCUUAAAGUGCUCAAGUGAAAGGAUAAGUAGACCUCUUAACUCACUUAUUUAAAUUGCAAAGGCUUGCUUGUUAGGUGUUGUCUUCUGGGCUGAAGCCUAUUCCAGCAUAAAUUGAGCCUCUGGUCCUAAAACAUCUAAUAGUAUCUAAGGAUAAGUUAUAUAGAUGAAUAUUCGAUUUUGAAUUUUUAGUCCGAGAAACUCUUAAAUCGUUUUAGUGGAUAUGAAAGAAAAAAAAAGAAUGUAGAAACAGAAAAAUGUAAUCUUCUUCCCAUGAUAAGGAAGAUCUCAAUUAUUUUGCAUUUAUUUGAAUAUUCCAAAUAUUUGCCCGACUUUCUUCUUUCCUUUUCCAAAGGUAAAUAUAAUGUUAAUCAUACAGCAAAUAUAGUGUGGCAUAUUUAGUUGAAUACUUUUAUUAACUAUACCAAGGAUCUCUUAUGCAUAGCUACUGUAUUUUAGUGUCAGUCAGACAUUAUUUAAAUUGCGGUGUUUAGUUCUAUCUGCUAUUAAAUCUUAAGUAUGACAUUGUACUUAUUUAAGUGUAAUUAUCUUCCUACUUUGUACGUGCAGCCAAGUUUCAAGUUGGUAUCAUACAUAUAUUCCUUCAACCUGAUAAUAUCUAUUGUUAGCCCUUGGACAAAAGAGACCUCCUGAAUGCUUAUGCUCAGCUUUAGUAUAUGCAGUGGCGGAUCUACUCUUUGAGUUAUGGGUGCUUGAGCACCCAUUACUUUUAGAGCCAAAUACUAUUACUUAUAUAAAAAACUAGUAAAUUCAUAUAAAUAUAUUAACCGAGCACUCAUUAUCAGUAGCAAUUUUUCAGAUUAAAAAUAAUUGAGCACCCACGAUUUGAAAAUUCUGGAUCCGCCCUUGAGUAUAUGGAUUUGUGUUAAUCAAUUUCUUUUUUAAUUUGUUUCAGGCAUUAUUAGGUAUCAUCCAUGGAUUCAGUUGGUGUCAUAUAUAUAGUGAAACACCUAAACCAUCAUAUAAAUUGUAUAGGGUAUUGCUCAAAGUUAGUGGCGAGGCUCGUGCAGAAGAUCACGCACAAAAUAUUGACCCCAAUGUGAGAAGAGGAAUUGCUGGUAGAUGAAUGGCAUUUUAAAAAAAUUAUCUGCAUGUCCACCGUAUCCUUCCCGAGAUUAAACUUCUUAGGCUUAUUCAUAGUUCAGACAUAUUUGGUAUUCUGUUGCUAAGAAAAUAGCUUCUCGAAACAGCCUUAUAGCUUAAGGAAAGAACUUUAUCAGAAUAAAUCUAGCUAAUAUGUUAUUAUAUUUCGAGCGCACUAGUUAGUGACUUCUAUUAUGAAAGUAAACUACAAAAAGAGGCAGUACUAAACUACUAAUUGAUGAAUUGCUAAUAUAAGCUGUAGGAGAUUUACAUCUUAAGAUGCAGAUUCACAAACUAUUUAGUAAAAACUCGGCAUUGUUGUGCUAUGAUUAAUGGUGAAGAGAAAUUAGACUAUUCUAUCUACUUGACGGGAGUGAAAAGUGACUCAUCUGACCUUUUACGGAGUUUUUUUAUUUUAUUUUAUGUGCAUUGUACUACUUUAUUUAUAAUUUGAAAAUGCUGCUUAUGGAUACGUACUAUCAACAUUCAAUCUUUAAUUUUAAGCAUUACGCGCAUGAUUAAGAAUUAGAGAAUAACAACAUUCCUUGGACAAAUCAAAUAGCAAAAGGCAUAUUUUGUUACAUCACAGUAUGAUUUUACAGCUAAUUCAAUUAUCGAUAUUAAAUUCCACUUGCAGCAUUAGCUCUAAGAGGCAAAAAAAGUAUUACUUUGGAGUAGAGAAAGAUUUUCUUUGCUAAAGAAUAAAUAGGAUUUAUAGUUGAGUGUAACUCAUCUAGAAUUGGGGUCAUUUUUGUGAUUUUUUGCAUUCAAAAAACAUUUAGAUGGUUUUGCAUUUUUCUUCUUAAAGUGGUCCAUUGUAAUUACAUGCUGAAUUAUUUUUUUAUCCUUUAUAGGUGGUUUCAUUUUAUCUACACAACUGUAUUUUAUGGACUCGGAUGUCAUUAACAUCUUCCUAUAAUCUGGGAAGUGACACAUUGAUUCAUCCAGCAACAGCUUAAUUUGGUUGAGAAAGACAAAAUAAAGUUAUUUGUUGGACUGAAGUUUCAGGCCUAAUAUCCAAGGUAGGAAGCCCAAGAAGAUCAUGGAAGCUGAUAUCAGAAGUGAUAGAAGUGAUACAAUAGCCACUGCUUGGAUUCCAAUCAAGAGAAUGAUGCAGUCUGGAAAAAACGAUUUGUUCUUGGAGUUUUAUAAACCUAGCUAAACAUUUAUUUGUCUUUUCUUUUAUACAACAACAACAACGCAAUAGAAUUCCACUAAUGGGGUCAGGGGAGGGUAGAAUGUACGGAGACUUUAUCUCUACCCGAAAGGAUAGAGCGGCUGUUUCUUUUAUUUGAUAUAUUUAAGUUGUUCACAGAGGUGCAAGGAUAUGAAAUGUCUUGAAGUUUGCGAGUAAUUUGUGAAUAUGCCUAAGGCUUCCAUUAUGUUGGGCCUGUGCUCUUAGGCCCGUGCAAAGCACGGGCAUUCCCAUCUAGUAUAUAUAUAUAUAUAUAUAUGCGCCUCGAA
rnacentral:lncRNA from 1 species